CUGUACUUUUCAUCGUCAAGGACACCGCCAGCCAGGAGCGCAGCUGCUGCCCAGCUCCACCUCCGAUGUAUGUCGUGCUGAUGGAACGAUGAUGCAUGUGGGUCCUUGGCUUUGAACCUUCAGAAGAAAAGUUUUGAUUACAAUCGUUUUUACCUAUGCCAUCACACAUGAUGGAACAGGACUAGCAGUACUUGCUUACUCCAGACAACACAAUCUAAGCACGCCCAGUUCAUGGGCGACUUUGUUCCAGAACACGGCAAAAAAAAUCUGAUUGAUCAGUUUCAUUAGGUGCUUAUUCUCACCUUCCUUUCCAAUUUAUAUGCUUUGCAAGCAAAAUAUUUUCGAUUUGCAAGGCGAGAAGUUGUGUGCAAAUCCCAUAGUCUAUAUUGAAUGUUGCUCUGGAUUAAUCAAAAGGUCCUUUUCAGCUUUGCGCUAGAUUGCAGUUGUACUUGGUAAGUUGUUAUACUCCUCCCUGCAAAAUACUUUGGAUAUGUACUAUCUCCAUGAUUCUCAAGGUCAUUUUCUCACCUGGUUUCGCUGGCUCAUGCCUCAACACCAUGUGUGGCUCGCCAGCGAGUCCAUGAUUCUCAAGUGUUAUGUUCCACGGCAACUUAGGAGCAUGAUUUCAGUUUCAGUUAUCUCUAGAUGUUUAGGAAUAGGAAGGGAAUGACUUUCCCACUUAUUGGAUUGGGGAAUUACUCCCUGGAAAGAUCACAACUUUUUGGAUGUUCUGAGCUUUUUUUUAUUACCUGGCCUGUCAGCGAAGUGCAUGAUUUAGAGUAAUUUUGUAUGCUUUGUGGUCUAAAUUACAACGCUGCAAUGUCCUAGCUAUUUGUUUUUCAAGAGAAUUUAAUCCAAGUGAAACUUCACAAUAUUAUAAAUUUCAAGACCAAAAGAGGUCAGUAUUGUAUCCAAGGAAUGUUAUUUAACCUUUCAGUAGUUACUCCUAUUUAUCAGAUCAUUUCUUGUGUCUACCAGUGUACAUUAUUGUGGUCCUUACACUGACAUUGAGUGGGUGGAGUAAUGCAUUCCAGUUUUAUUCUAUGUCAUUUGUUCAGCCAAAAUUAUAUCGCUCUUAUGUUUUAUCUAAAAGAAGUGCUUUCUAAAAUGCAUGAACUAAUAUUUAACAUUCUGAAUGUAUUUGCUGGUGUAUGAUACUCCAAAGAUAGUUGCACACAUGAGUUUUGAACUUAAAUGUCUAAGUCUGCAAUUGGAAGAGGGUCGGAAGAUGAGGAAGCAAUCCUAGACUAAAACCAUGCUGCACUAGGCAAGUGAUUGUCGUGUUACAAACAUAAUCGUUUUUGUGUAUUCAAAGCGCACUUGAUAUACAACCUGUGAUGUGUUCUUUUUCUCCUCUUCAUUGGCUGAGGAAGGAGGAUUCCACAGCCGUCCAUUGGCAGUGGCAGGCAGCGCAAAACAAGUUGGAGGCGAACACCAAGGGGCAUGCAAGAGGGCGACCGUCGCAGGAGCACAUCAUAGCUCAGACAAUCAUCACAGGAACUAGAGUUCGAGACCCAUGAGCAAACUAGACAGAUUCUAUACAGAAUUAUAAGAAGGGUUUAGUGUUCUGCUGGUACACCAAUAACAUUGCUGAGCAGCACAGCCCACUGCCCGCGCCGCCCCCGAAGGGCGGUUGAUGGCCAGUGGGAGUAUUGCCUCCCAGUAGGAGGAGCUUGGUGCGCCGCCAAGCCAGACCAGAGGCGACGUGUAGGCUGCCACUGUCGAGAUGGACGAUGCCAGGGAAUCGAGUUGCAGCUUGAUGGAAACCAUCAAGAUCUCGGCCAUUUGUUUAGGCGCACCCCUAAAUCGUCGAGUUUAUAAGCUAUUACGGGCUGCUGUCUGUAUGUUUAUGUUUGGAAGCUUAUAAGCUAUUACGAGGUAUCAACAUUUCCCCUGUAUUAAUGGUAAGAUAAAUUUAAAAGAUUUAUCACUUGGUAGGAAGUGAGAAGCUUUGAUAUCACUUGGUAUGAACCAAAGAUUAAGGUAAAAGCGAGGACAACAAAGCCACUUCUGGGUAAUCAAGAUGGAUAAAAGUUCUGUUGCUCUUCGUAUUGGUUCCUGCCUUUGUUAUUCUCUAAGCGUUAGAGAAAAUGUUUAAGAUAAUGUUUGUCAAUGUGAAAGAUGUGGGCUGUGCGCCAAGGUGUGGCCCUAAAUCAUAAGGCGCAGAUCUUACUCUUUUUACUAUACUAUAUUUUGGUACUGUCACUGAGGUCCUCAUAGUUUUGCAUCUAUUUGUAUAUUUAUAUGUUUGUUUUCUGCUACAACUCUCGAAUUACGCAAUAGUUUUGGUACACUUGGUUUGCUGCUACGUUUAUAAUUUCGUAUGAUUUAUCCUAAUUUUAUCCUACCAACAUUGGUUUGUGAAACCUAAAGUGUAAUGUCAUUUUGGCAGUUAAUUUUUAUUGUUAUUAUACAAAAUGUAUGUUGGCACGAGCUUAACGGGAUCGUGCGCCAAGGCGCACAUCUAAAUCUA